rnacentral:lncRNA from 1 species
GCUGCACCCCUGCAGUGCAGCAGCACCAGCUCUACUCCCUGCCUGGGUGAGGACUCUAAGGUCCUGCUUCAGAAAAAUAUUUUGGUGGACCUUAAGGACAGAAUUAGGCAGCCCUUAGUGAAUACAGCUCUUUCCAAAACAGGGGCGCUGCCUGGAGCACAGCUUCAAGGAAAAAAGCCGGACCUGAGAGGUAAAAAGGCCUCACUGGUGGCAGGCAGAAGACUUGGAAAGCAGAAUCCCAAUCAAGGUUUCUCACCUGGGCAAUCCCCUAGCCCAAAGAAAAUCUGUUGUUUAGAGAUGAGCUGUAGAGUCAAGACUCUCUUUGUGCAGCUACUUUGAAAUACACAGGCAUCUUCUUCACUUCUGUGGGUUCUGUGAGCUCCAGCUGGACAGUACAGGCAGGACUCACUCCAGAGAUGCUGUGGCUUCUGCUGCAGGUGUUCAACAGCAGGAAGAUAAGAGGGGGUUUGAGAAGUGCUACUCACAGAUUGCACCAAACAAGCUAAGGCUGGUGUAAUUACAGAGGAUCACCCUCACCAAUUGGAUAAUUUUUGUGCACUGAGUGGUGGAAUUGUGCAAGUUGGUUGCAUGCAUGGUGCUCACAUCUCAUCUGUGCAUGAGCUGUGGGCAGUGAGAAUUGUUCCCUCCUAGUAAAGGCUGAACUGGUGCUGUUUUUGGGAGUAGAGGGGCACUAUGUUCUGUGUGUCUUCCAUUCCAGACACUGUAAUACAAUGGUGGAUUUAGUGAAUCUGACGCUUGAAAGCCUGGGGGCAAUUGCAUGUCCAGAGACUUUUGUUUGGCCAGAAGGUGCUUGGGAUUAAAAUUGUUCUAGGAUUCGGAAUGUGAUCCUUCUCUGCAAUCUGAAAUAUAGAAGCACAAGUGAAAGA